GCAUCAUUCAACAGGGUUGCGGGCUGUUGUGGAAGCUCACAACGCAGCCAAAAAUUACUGGGAUCCAUGCAUUCUAGCUUCAUGGUCCGAAGGUCUGUGGAAUCUAGAAAGUUGUGACAAAGGGACUUCCCUCCGAAUCUCCGAUUCCCUCCUCUUUUCCGGUUUUGCUGGGGGCAUUCCCAUAAUAGCACCCUGGCGUUAUGAUGAUCCCUGUGUAUAGGACACUAACGGCAGAUGAAAUGCGUGUCGCACCCUGAAGGUAUGGCGAAUUUCAGGACGCCACCCUUGUCCCCCCAGGAAGUGCACUUACAGACCUUUUAAUGUUUCGGGGGGUUUGGGUUUGAGGGUGCCCUCCAGGGCACACUGAGGUUACAAGCCAUAAUCCUCGUCGGUUUGGACGACCUCAGUCGACUUCGGUGAGGCUCGGACAUACUAUCAUCCCAAAG
rnacentral:sRNA from 1 species